CAAACCAGUCUCUCUCGAGUUCGCCGCAUUCACGCAAGCAGAUCUCUAGCUCUAGAAGCCUCUUUUCUUUUCCUGCUUUGACAAGGUUUUCGCACCGCGUCAAACUUGCGUUUUUACGCAAUUAACAGUUUUUUCGCGGCGGAAAGUGGUGAAAACAUCGCGCAUCGUGGCAACUAGGGUGCUGCGAGUUCUGAAUUUCAUCUUUUCGACGGAACUUUGACGAGGGGACACGACUUGAUUCGAUUCGAAUGUGUGUGUUUGUGGAUAACACCUAACGCGUUGCCAGUUGAUUGUGGUGGAUUAAUCGCGUGAUAACAGUGUUUUCUUGUUUUCGUUGUGCAAGUGGUGAAAUUGCUGUAUCGCGUGGUGCAUUUGUUGGUGUGUUGGUGCAUGACGUGCCCCUUUUUCGGUUGUUUUGAUUCGUUGUGCUUGCGUGCCGAGUGUUCUGACUGUUGAUUUUGACAGUUUGUUCGAAGGGAGAGAGAGUUUGCUGGUCUUUCUCUCGCAGUUUUCUCUGUGUUGAUUUUUUAUAUGACUAGUUGUAGUGUUUGGCGAGAGUGACAGUUUGUGUUUCUCACCACGCCGCCACGGCACCAUAUCAUUCACCUCGCUCUUCGGCGGACACCAUUCGCCACCCUCCAUCCAUACCGACACCGUAGUCGUACAGCUGCCGUCACGGUGCGAAGCGAACAGAGUCGUUGAAGCGCUUUAACCUUUCUGACAUUGAAACUGCUCGCGUUUGGCGAGUAGCACUCACUCCUCUCUGUGAAUCGGUUGCGAUCGGUAGCAAAUUAGAGUCUUUUCUUGCACAAAGGCAAGAAAAGAAAAAAAAAGUCGGAAGUUAUACUUUCAUUGGCGACGAGUCUUCCAAAAACGGACCGGGAACGGAUGGUUUAACCUGUCGUGAAGUGUUUUAGUCGUUGACCGUAACUAUUUGUAUGAUUUUCAUUGCGGGAAUCAUUUCGUGUUGAUCGGGAACCGCGAGUAGACGGAGGUGGCCGAGCAGGAAGAAAAUUAGCAGUUAUCGAAAAAUGGCUAAAGACGAAGAGGAUGAUCUGCUGCCCGACAAGGAUGCGGCCAAGGGAUUCUACGCCAAGUAUGAACCGAAGGAGAUUCUGGGCAGAGGCAUCAGUUCAACCGUGCGGCGCUGCAUCGAGAAGGAAACGGGCAAGGAGUUUGCGGCGAAAAUCAUCGAUCUCGGUGCGAUCGAAUCGGGCGAUUCCAAUCACAUGCUGGAAGCGACCCGCCAGGAGAUUCAAAUCCUGCGGCAAGUGAUGGGUCACAAGUACAUCAUUGAACUUCAGGAUGUGUUCGAGUCGGACGCUUUCAUUUUUCUGGUGUUCGAGUUGUGCCGGCAGGGCGAGCUGUUUGACUAUCUGACCUCGGUGGUGACGCUGUCCGAGAAGAAGUCACGCUAUAUUAUGAGGCAAAUCUUCGAAGGUGUGGACUACAUUCACUCGAAGAACAUCGUACACCGUGAUUUGAAACCGGAGAACAUCCUGCUGGAUGACUGUCUGAAUGUGAAGAUUACCGAUUUCGGCUUUGCACGGAAGCUGAAGGAAGGCGAGAAGCUGUUCGAUUUGUGCGGCACGCCUGGUUACUUAGCCCCGGAAACGCUCAAGUGUAACAUGUUCGAAGAUGCACCCGGCUACUCCAAGGAAGUAGACAUUUGGGCGUGUGGCGUUAUCAUGUUCACACUGCUGGUCGGCUGUCCCCCGUUCUGGCAUCGGAAGCAGAUGGUCAUGCUGCGGAACAUCAUGGAGGGCAAAUACAGUUUCACCUCGCCCGAGUGGGCCGACAUUUCAGAGGACCCCAAGGACCUGAUCCGCAAGUGUCUGGUGGUGGACCCCAGCAAGCGCAUCACCGUAACCGAGGCCUUGAAGCAUCCGUUCUUCAACACAGUACUUUUCGAACAAGACAUUGGCCCGUUGAAGCGCAGCCUGUCGGCCAAGUCGCGACGCUUGAGUCGUAUCGCCGAUCUGGCACUGAACGUCACGGAAAAAUUACGCAAACAAAGUCAGUUUAACGCUAGGAAAAAGUUCCAAUUCGCUAUCCUAUGUAUUAGAGCAAUGGUUAGAAUAAAGAGGCUACGGUACACGCCGGAACCGCUGCGGGCCGAGGACGCCCUAAGAGACCCCUACCGCAUCAAGGUGCUGCGAAAGGUCAUCGAUGGCUGCGCAUUUCGAGUGUACGGCCACUGGGUCAAGAAGGGCGAGGGCCAGAAUCGGGCCGCCCUGUUCGAGAAUACGCCUCGAUGCGAGGUUUAUAACCUUUAUAUCAACAGCCUUAAUCGAUAGGCUGUAGAACAGAAGCAAUGCGAAAAGCACAGCCUACUGCGACGACGACGGCAGGACAAGUGAACUCCCGAUGUGCUAGGUAUUUUCUGGAUGUUUUUCUUUUGGAUGUUUCGUGAUGGAUCACUGACUACUUAGAGCACACAGAGAAAAAGCACCCUAUCCAGCAUGUUCCUUAGAAGAAAAGCGCGAGUGACUGAGACAGUUUCGUUUGGAAGAGUUCGUAUGACUAGGUGCAGCAUUGACUUGCCAUUUGGGAACGGAGAGGAGUCGUCGGAAUCGAAUGAAGGAUAUCGAGAAAAGUGAUCAGUCAGUCUUAAUAGGGCAGAAACAAUUAGUUCUAUAGUCAAUAGAAGUAACCAUAUUUUUUUCUCUCGUAUAGAGCGUAUCAAUAAGUUUAUCAACUUAUACUUUAUUAUUUAUUUUACCUCAAGCAAAAUGAAUUCUUUUUCGUAUUUGGCGUUUACUGAAUCGGAUCGGAUCGAAGUAGUUAACAAAAGUCCUUACUAGUUUUAUCGCAUCAAUUUAUCAUAUAUUAUUCCCAUGAAAGUGCGUUUUGUCUUAUCUCAUUUAGUCGUUUAGUUUUAACUCGUAAUAAGUAUAACCCCCUACUGAAGAGACAAACAUAUAACUGCUGUUAUCUAGAUAUUAAAACUAUUUCCGUUUUUUUGAUAUUAUUGGAUGAAAUCGACUUAUUUCUCCCGAAUAAAAAAAAAAAAAAGAAAUCUAUAUUUGAUAAGCUUGUUAUGAAUCGUGGAUUUGAAAGUGAUUUGACUUCAUGGGCAAUGGCGUAGAAUAAUAAAUAUCAACCAUUUGAAAGUAGCGUAGAAAUGAAAACAAAUUUAUCAUUUUUUUUUUUCAUUCACUAGUGAACAAGCAGCACAGAUAUUUCCAAAAUGUAGCGUGUGUAGUUGAAUUGGUAGCCUAAAAAAAAGCCACAAAUAUAUCAACGCUGAGUGGAUUGCCAAACGCUUGAAAUAUAGUGAGAAUCUGCAAAUCAA